UCGAGGAUAUUUAGCAAUGGGGGAAACCCUGACUAUGUGACGCCGCGUGAGGGAUCAAGGUUCUCGGAUCGUAAACCUCUUUCGAUGGGAAAGAAACCUUGCAUUAAUCAUGCAAGCUGACGGUACCCAUAGAAGAAGCCACGGCCAACUCCGUGCCAGCAGCCGCGGUAAUACGGGGGUGGCGAGCGUUACUCGGAUUUAUUGGGUGUAAAGGGCAGGUAGGCGGCUAUACAAGUUGGGGGUGAAAUCCUUUGGCUCAACCAAAGAACUGCCUUCAAAACUGUAUAGCUUGAGGCUAGAAGAGGAGAGCGGAAUUCCCGGUGUAAGGGUGAAAUCUGUAGAUAUCGGGAGGAACACCCGUGGCGAAAGCGGCUCUCUGGUCUGGCCCUGACGCUGAACUGCGAAAGCUAGAGGAGCAAACAGG
rnacentral:rRNA from 1 species